CAUAUCAAUAAGCGGAGGAAAAGAAACUAACAAGGAUUCCCCUAGUAACUGCGAGUGAAGCGGGAAAAGCUCAAAUUUAAAAUCUGUCAGUCUUUGGCUGUCCGAGUUGUAAUCUAGAGAAGUGUUAUCCGCGCUGGACCGUGUACAAGUCUCCUGGAAUGGAGCGUCAUAGAGGGUGAGAAUCCCGUCUUUGACACGGACUGCCAGUGCUUUGUGAUGCGCUCUCAAAGAGUCGAGUUGUUUGGGAAUGCAGCUCAAAAUGGGUGGUAAAUUCCAUCUAAAGCUAAAUAUUGGCGAGAGACCGAUAGCGAACAAGUACCGUGAGGGAAAGAUGAAAAGAACUUUGGAAAGAGAGUUAAACAGUACGUGAAAUUGCUGAAAGGGAAACGCUUGAAGUCAGUCGCGUUGUCCAGGGAUCAACCUUGCUUUUGCUUGGUGUACUUCCUGGUUGACGGGUCAGCAUCAAUUUUGACCAUUGGAAAAAGAUUAGGGGAAUGUGGCAUCUUCGGAUGUGUUAUAGCCCCUGGUUGUAUACAAUGGUUGGGAUUGAGGAACUCAGCACGCCGCAAGGCCGGGUUUUUAACCACGUACGUGCUUAGGAUGCUGGCAUAAUGGCUUUAAUCGACCCGUCUUGAAACACGGACCAAGGAGUCUAACAUGCCUGCGAGUGUUUGGGUGGAAAACUCGAGCGCGUAAUGAAAGUGAAAGUUGAGAUCCCUGUCGUGGGGAGCAUCGACGCCCGGACCAGACCUUUUGUGACGGUUCCGCGGUAGAGCAUGUAUGUUGGGACCCGAAAGAUGGUGAACUAUGCCUGAAUAGGGUGAAGCCAGAGGAAACUCUGGUGGAGGCUCGUAGCGAUUCUGACGUGCAAAUCGAUCGUCAAAUUUGGGUAUAGGGGGCGAAAGACUAAUCCCGAACCCUCCUAGUAGCUUGGUUCCUGCC
rnacentral:rRNA from 1 species